rnacentral:rRNA from 1 species
UACGAAGGUGGCAAGCGUUGUUCGGAUUUACUGGGCGUACAGGGAGCGUAGGCGGUUGGAUAAGCCCUCCGUGAGAUCUCCAGGCUUAACCUGGAAAGUGCAGAGGGGACUGUUCAGCUAGAGGAUGGGAGAGGAGCGCGGAAUUCCCGGUGUAGCGGUGAAAUGCGUAGAGAUCGGGAGGAACACCUGUGGCGAAAGCGGCUCACUGGACCACAACUGACGCUGAGGCGCGAAAGCUAGGGGAGCAAACAGGAUUAGAAACCCGAUAGUACGUUC